UACGUAGGGUGCGAGCGUUAACGGAAUUACUGGGCGUAAAGCGUGCGCAGGCGGCUUCUCAAGUCAGGGGUGAAAGCCCAGAGCUCAACUCUGGAAUUGCCUUUGAGACUGAGUGGCUUGAGUACGAGAGAGGUGAGUGGAAUUCCCAGUGUAGAGGUGAAAUUCGUAGAUAUUGGGAAGAACACCGGUGGCGAAGGCGGCUCACUGGCUCGUAACUGACGCUCAUGCACGACAGCGUGGGGAUCAAACAGG
rnacentral:rRNA from 1 species